GCUUCCCUCGCCUGGAGCGAGCAGCGGGGCGGGGCCCGUGGGCACCGCGGAGGAGGGGGCAGCCCGGACUGAGACGGGGACGGGCCGAGCGGAGCUCUACUGAAGCCAGGAUUGCUGAACACUGGCCCCUGUGAUCCUCUACAAGCCUGAGGCGAACUGCUCUCGCCACCCUCUCUCUGCUUCCCUUCUGGCGAACUAGAGCUGCCGUCUAGAUAUGGGCAUACUUAGCUGUCGCUAUUCUCUGACGCACACACCCCCAGUUCUUAAAACGGGAGCACACCAGUUCAGCUCACUCAGCAUCUUGUGGGAGCAUGAUACUGAUGACAAAAGAUCAAACUUUUCAUUUCACUCAAGCAUUUGUAAAGAGGCUUUCAAGGGUAAUAUUUAGCACACUUAUCAUGGCUGCCUGCAUCUACCACUUAUGCAACAUCUUUCUAUAGUGAGCGAGCUAGGUUUGUACAUAUUCCUCAGAGGAAUCAAUAUUGAUCUCUAGAUCUGCGGACCAUGUUAAAUCUUCCAUCAUCUGGACCUUGAUGAAGACAUUGAAACUUUUAACUCCUUGAUCAGUGCUCUGAUGAAACACAGUAUUUCAGGCUUUCUCAAUCUUUCUACUUUGAGAGCUUUACAACAGAAUAAUAAAAUAGUCAUUAGAGCAGCAGUAGAGUUUAAGUGUCAGUGUCACUGGAAUGAAUUCACUCUCUUGGGUAAAGUUUCCAUGUGAAGCGCUCUUCAAAGAGAAUGGAGCUGAGCACUACUCAUUUUAGAUUUGAGAAUUUGGGGCUGUGAUCAGGUCAGGUAACAAGGCACUUUAUUAGGUGAGUUAUUUAAGGGCAGGGUUCUGCAGAAAUAUAUGACACUAUAUCUGAAAGAAAUUAAUAGCUAAGAUGUUUUUAGAAGAGUUCAGUGUUUCUUUUGACUCUUCAUGCUUAAGUGAAAAUGUUAUCAAAAUUUUGUUUUAGCAUUGACAAUGUCGAAAUUUUCUAGUUGUUUUGACAUCACAGAAUCAUUUAGGUUGGAAAAGACCUCCAAGAUCAUCAAGUCAAAUUUUUGACCAACCUCCACCUUGUCAACUAGACUGUAGCAAAGUUCCACAUCCAGUUGUUUCUUGAACACCUCCAGGAAUGGUGACUCCUUCAUGGGCAGCCAUUUCCAGUGCUUUCCAUUAAGAAAUUCUUCAUAGUCCAACCUGAAUCUCCCCUGGUGCAGCUUGAGGCUGUGUCCUCUUGUCCUGUCACUAGUUGACUGGAAGAGACCAAUCCCCACCUUGCUAUAACCUCCUUUGUAGUUGUAGAAAAUGAUAAGGUCCCCCUGAGCCUCCUUUUCUCCAGGCUUAACACCCCCAGCUCCCUCAGCCACUCCUCAUAGUGCUCUUAACUCUUCACCAGCUUUGUUGCUCUUCUCUGGACACACUCUAGUACCUCAAUGUCCUUGAAUUGUGGGGCCCAGAACUGGACACAGAACUCAAGGUGCUGCCUCACCAAUGCUGAGUAGAGGGAGGUGAUCACUGCCCUGGUCCUUCUGGCCACACUAUUUCUGAUACGAGCCAGGAUGCCAUUGACCUUCUUGGCCACCUGGGCACACUGCUGGUGUAUGUUCAGAUGGCUGUCGACCAGCACUCCCACAUCCUUUUCUCCUGGGCAGCUUUCCAGCACUCUUCCCCCACGCUGUAGAGCUGCAUGGAAUUGUGAUCCAAGUGCAGGACCUGGCACUUUGCCUUAUUGAACCUCAUAAAAUUGGCCUCAGCCCAUCAAUCCAGCCUGUUAUACUCCCACCCAACUUAGUAUUGUCCAUGAACUUACUGAGAGUACACUUGAUUGCCUCAUCCAGAUCAUUAGUGAAGAUAUUAAACAGGACUGGGCCCAACACUGACCCUUGGGGAACACCACUAGUGAGUGGCCACCAACUGGAUGCAGCAUCAUUCACCACCACUCUCAGGGCCUGGCCAUCCAGCCAGUUCUUCAACCAAGCAAAGAACUGUCCAAGCCGUGGGCUGCCAGCUUUUUCAGGAGAAUGCUGUGGGAGACAGUUUCAAAGGUUUUACUGACAUCCAGGUAGACUACAUCUGCAGCCAUCCCCUCAUCCACUAGGAGGGUCACCUGGUCGUGAAAGGAGAUAAGGCUGGUCAAGCAGGACCUGCUUUUCCUAAACCCGUGUUGGCUGGGCCUGAUUCCCUGGUUAUCCUGUACAUGCUGUGUGAUUGCAGUCAAGAUAAUCUGUUCCAUAACCUUCCCAGGGACCAAGGUCAGGCUGACAGGCCUGACCUCCUUCCCUGCAUCCUCCUUCUGACCUUACUUGAGGAUGGGCAUCACAUUGGCCUACCUCCAGUCAUUUGGGACCUCCCCAGUUAGCCAGGACUGAUUAUAAAUGACAGAGUGGUUUGGUGAGCUCUUCUGCCAGCUCCCUCAGUACCCUCUCAUGAAUCCCACCUGAACUCAUAGACUUUUGAGUGCCUAAAUAGCUCAGCAGGUCACUAAUGACUUCCUCCUGAAUUAUACAGGGAUUCUAAUCUGCUCCCUGUCCCUGUCUACCAGCUCAGGGGGCCAGUUGCCCUAAGGAUAACUGGUCUUACUGUUAAAGACUGAGGCAAAGAAGGCAUUAAGCCUUUUUCUCAUUCUUGCUUACAAUGUUCCCCACCAUGUCCAAUUAAGAAAUUUUCCUUGGCCCUCCUUUUGUUGUUGAUGUAUUUAUAAAAACCACUUUUUAUUAUCUUUCUCAGCAGUGGCCAGAUUGAGUUCUAGCUGAGCCUUCACCUUUCUAAUUUUCUCUUUACAUGACCCAACAACAUCCUUGUCCUCUUUCUGAGCUUCCUGCCCCUUCUUCCAAGGGUCAUAAACUCUUUUUUUCCUUGAGUUCCUGCAAAAAUUCCUUGUUCAGACAGGCCAGUUUUUUUCCCCAAUGGCUCAUCUUUUGGCACAUAGGGAUGGGCUUCUGCACCUUUAAGAUUUCCUUCUUGAAGUAUGUCCAGCAUUCCUGGACUCCUUUGUUAUUAAUGACUGUUUCCACCUGCUGGAAGUCCAGAGUAGAUGUUCUGUUGACCCCCUUCCUUAAUUUCACCAAGAAUUGGAAACUCUUAUCAUUUUGUCAUCGCUAUGCUCAAGAUGACCUCCAGCCCCCCCAUCUCCCAGCAGUAGGUUUCUUCUCUCUCUCUUUGUAAACAGCAGGUCUAAUGUGGCAUCAGCCCUGACAGGCUCACUUACCAGCUAUAUCAGGAAGUUACCUUCUACACAGUCCAGGAACCUCCUAGACUCCCUUCUCUCUGCUCUGUUGAGUUUCCGGCAGACAUCUGGCAAGGCGAAGUAUCUCACAAGAACAAGGGCUAGGGAUCAUGAAACAUCAGCCAGCCUCAUUCAGAAUACUUCAUCUGCCUCUUCAUCCUAGUUAGGUUGUCUGUAAAAGACCAGGAUGCCUACUACCUUGUUAGCCUUCCCCCUGAUUCUUACCCAUAGGCACUCAACCUUAUCAUCACUAUCGUUGAGCUCUGUACAGUUGAAACACUCCCUAAUGCACACUUCUUCUAAAACAGCUCGUAAGUUUUAAUGGUUCCGACUCUGAAUACAGGCAGAAUUAGGCAAGUAAACUUAUGAAAAUUUUGUAUUGCCAUUUUAUUUUUUUAUGUUAUAUUCCCAUUCCUUGACAACAAGAAAAUAUUUUAAAGUUCUGUUUUAACUCACACUACAAAAACUAGUUAUUAAAAAGCUAGUUAUUUUCCUUCAGAAAAAUAAUUAAUCUUACAAUUUUAAAUAGGCAAUAUUAAAUAAUAAUGUAAAUUAUAUGCUUUUUUAAAAAUUGCACUUAACUUGAUUAGGCCAAGUAGAAGAGUGAUUGUAGGGUAUGGAAUUCCAAGUUCUACUUCAUUAUAUAUCCAGUAACGAGCACAUCAGAGUUCAGAAGAUGCAUGGGGAUGGGAAGGCACUAGGAAGGGCAGACUGGAUCUAAAAGAGAAAGGUUAUAAAUCUGGAAUUUAAAAAGCCCUGUGAGUUCAACAGUAGACUUAUACAGAGCUAAGAUGUCUGUGCCAUGAAGUCUGAGUCACAGAGACUUUGAUAUCUUUUGUUGAUGAUAAAACAGAAAACUGGAGACUUGGUUAGCUGUGAAACUCCUCAUUGCUGAAUGGGGCCAUUUUAAAAGAAUUAAAUUAUGACUGCAGGGUUAUUGUGUUUAUUUAGCGGAACUGAAAUAGUCAGCAGCACAUAAACAUGAUUUCUUUACUGUUGCUUAUAGAGAUAACAUAGACUGUCCUUCCUGGUUUUCAUGAAUGAAGAACAGAAAGAAUCAGGUGCUAACGUUCCCAAAAAAAUACUCAGGUGGUCCUUAAUAGCACAAAAGUGUCAUCCUUUCACCACCAGUAUCUGAAGGCAAUAUUGAUGAUAGGUGCAAUUAGAGAGACUGCAGAGGAAAUGCCUAACCAUCUUCACAGCAUGUCAAGGUGACAGCAUCAUGGUCUCUGGCACUCUCAAUUUUAUACUAGAAAAGUUUAUUAACUAUAGUAAGUGUAAAAGAAAUCUUUAGACUGGAUAUUAGUUCACCGAAAAAGAGUUAUCAAGCAUUGGAACAGGCUGCCCAAUGAAGUGCUUGAGUCACCAUCCCUGGAAGUAUUUAAAAGUCAUGUAGCCACUUAGGAAUAUGGUUUAGUGGUGGACUUGGAAGUGGUAGGUUAGCAGUUUAAUAUGAUGAUCCUAGAGGUCUUUUUCAACCUAAAUUAUUCUACAAUUUAAUACUUUAAUGUUACUCCAUGGAAAUGUGCUGCUUCUACCUAUCAUACAGAGAGCUACUUCCUAUGCAAAAACUUCUGUGCAGUCUUUCAGUGGAUUCUCUUGUUUCAGAUGCUCUUGCUGAUUUCAGAUUCUUGCGGUGUUCUCCUACUGACAAUCUAACAUGAAAGGUUAGAAGUACUUCACACCUGUAGAAUGGAAACACAGACAAAUAGGAUCCCACUCUUUUCAGUAGAAAGAAAACACAUCAGGAUGGAAGUAUAAGCUUCACUUUUUCUUGCUUCCUGUCCCCAGCACCCUGGCAUGCAAUAAUGGCAGGGAAGCAACUCAUUUAACACAGACUUGAAACAGCUAUUUUAUUUAGACAUUAGCAGGCAAGCAUAUUGUAAUUUUGUUACUAUAAAUAACAUUACAGCAUUAUAGAAAAAAAUGGCUUGCAAGGGGCCUCUAGACAUCUGUAGUCCAACCUGCUUGAAGUGGAUUUAACUACAAGCUAGAUCGGGUUGCACAAGGUCCUGUCCAUGUGAUUUUUUAAAAACUCCAAGGGUGUAGAUCUUACCAUCUCUCUGGCCACCCUGCUUAACUGUUAUAAGAGUGAAGAAUCAUUUUAUCCUCUCCAGUCAGAAUUUCUGUUGUUUCAGUUUGAGUCUGUUGCUUCUUGUUUAAUUGUGCAUCUCAGAGAAGAGCUUGGCUCAUUUUUCUCUAUAAACCCCCUUAGAUAGUUGAAGAUAGGAAUGAGAUUUAGUCUUCUCUUCCUUUGGCUGGAUAAACCCAGUUAGAUUAGCCUCUCCCUGUAUAUAUUAUGGGUUCCCUUAGUGGCCCGUUCCUCCAGCUUGUCAACGUCAGUGUGAAUGACAGGCCUUUCAUGUGCUCCCUGCAAUUUUGUGUCAUAUGCCAACUUGCUUAGGAUCCUUCUGUCCCCUUUUCCAGGUCAUUGAUGAUGAUGUUAAACAGUGUCAGCUUCAGUGUUGACCCUUAAGAAAUUCUGUUUAACUAGGCUUCCAGUUAGAUGAUUACUUGCAGUUAGUCACAGAGGAGUUGUUUACCUUUGGCUGUCUGGUAUAACUGAACCUUUUCCUAUUUUACUUCUCUCUCUUCCUCUCUCCCUCUCACUCUCUAUACAGAUAUGUACGUACACACACAUACAUUCUGCAGAAUUAUGAGUUUCUGUUACAUAAAUUGACAGUAAAGGAAUUUGACACAGGUAUGCUAUUUUUUGCUCUUCUCUAUUUUCACCUUUUUCAGGUUUUUCCUCUAGUGUAAGACAUAUCCAGACACACCAGUUGAACUUAUCUCCUGGGUUAUCACUGAUGCAUAGUAUUCAGAGUCCUAAAAAUAAAUAUAUAGGAGUUUUUUCAGAUGAGUGUACUGCAGGAUGCAAAAAGCUUCUGUUUGCUGUAGUCUAAUGGACAUUGUGUAGGAAUAUGGGAGAGUCCUAGUUCAGGGUGAAGAUGAUAUAUCAUAUUCUUAUCUUCCUUCUCAAGCUUUCUCCUUCUUUACUGUAUUUUCUGAGUGCAUAUCUCUUCAAUACUGUAAUACCUCUUUUUUAGAUCUGAUUUGUCAGAUAUUGGAAAGCAGCUCUGUUACCACAGGCUACUCAUCAAUUCAGAGACACGCUUUCUUCUGAUUAUGAAAGUAACUCAGAGAGGGGCUUUGCUUCUUCAUUCUGUUACCAUGACAUCAAAGACUUUUUCUGUAUAAUUUCUGAAGUAUCAUUCUUAGUGCCUCUUCUCAGUAUUGGGAUAACAUCUAGGUGUUAAAUUAUCUGGCAUUGGUGGUCCUAUAUAGUUUUACUUCAUGCAGUGAAUUCUUUUACUUCGUUUCCUCAAAGAAUGAUAAGUGGUAGAGAAAGGAGGGUAUACUGGUUGCAAUGAUCUAUUUAAAAUCCCUCACAAUUAAACAUUAAGAUCUUUCCUUUUUAAAGAAAGCUUAAUCUUAUCAUAGUAAAUUGUGUGACACAACAUUGGUAAGAAUCCUCUUGUAUUCUUCUUCUUGAAAUUACAUAAAGUAGGAAAAGUUGACUAGAAAUCACGGAGAUGUGACUUCUCAGUGCUAGAUCCACUACAUGCCAGGUGUACAUGUGACAGAUGCAAUGGAGCAAGUGCCUUAUGGUUAGAAGUGUAGUUAACUGAAAAAUAUAUGUAUGGUAAGCCAAAUAUGUUGGGUUUUGUGUGGACAUUGGAGAUGCUUUGUGUUCAUAUUGGGCAUCUCAGCAGCACUGAUCAAGAUUUUCCAGGCAGAACAAUGGAUGCUUGGAAACUUUGUAGCAAGAUAGAGUUUAUAGCUAAAUUCCUCCCCCAAAAUAUGUUGCCUGCAGUAAGCGCAUCAGAAGUUAGUUGCCAGGAGUCCUUUAGCGUAAAAGCCUGUGGUCCUACUUGCUUCACUAAGGAUGCCAUACUAAAAUAAUACCUACUCUAUACCUGCAGACUGGGGAUCUGUGCUUAGUUCCUGGUAACACAAUGUGCUGCCUUUAGGUGAUGCACAUUGUUACCUCAUUUGCUGUUUUCCAAACUGUUGAGGAAUAUAUCUGGUCUAGGUAGCUCAUCUUGCAAGCUGCAGAUUGAAAUGCAGAUUGGCGCCUGAGACAAGAGGCUGUGAACUGCUGACCUUUCGAAUAAUGGCUGUGCCAUGAAUAAAUUACUUCAAUGAACUAGACAUCUGAGACUCUGCUAUGGGAAACCUGGGGUCAAACCAAUGAGGAAACCUUGUCUGACUGUGUGAGUGGGGUGUGCAGGGAGUAAAGCCGAGCACCUGUUGGUUCACUGCAGCCGCCUGCUGUGAAGGGGCUUCGGUCCCAGCAGUUAAAGUGUCUGGUGUUGAGAGUGUGACUGCCAGAGUCUCACAAAUGUUCACUGUGAAGUUUCCUUAAACACAAACCAGACAGCUUUCAGCACCUCCUUAGGCCUAUGGGUUACCUGCUGCUUUCUUCCUCCUAGGACAGCAGAGCUGCUUCUUGCUGAAGGGUUCAAACCAAGGUGCAAGUUCUUUGGAGCGCUGUGGGACUGGUCCACUAUCUAUCUCAGCAAUGUGUAGAAGGGAACAGUUGCUGUAGGCCACCUCUCUUUGUCCGGGUAAAAGGGCUGUGUGGGGACUUCAGAACUUGUCUUCCAUAAGUAGGAAGAACACUGUUAGGACCUGGGACACUGUCAGAGUUUGAGCCACCCCUCUGGGGGCCAGGGGGCUGGAAAUGGUUGGUCCCAGCUGAGUUUCCGGUUAGGGGGCCAAUCGCAGCUGUUUUUUUCACUCUUGUGAAAUUAGAUGCCAUAACAGCCGGAAGUUGUUGGCAGAGUGUGAGAGUGUCUGAGAGAGAGAGAGAGAGAGAGAGAAGCCAAGGGGUGGCCAGGGGCCCCCGCAACCCAGGGGGCUCCUUGGCCCCCGCCAGGGCUGGAUGCAGUGUGUGGCAGUGAGUGUGUGUGUUGUGAGGGAGAGAUUCGCAACCACGAGGUGAGAGGAGGGAGGCCUCCAGCCCCCUAUGCCAGGGGGGCCAGGCCCUCUUCCCCCGCCGGCUAGGCUGAGGGGAGCUUGGGACAGUUUAUAACUGGACCGAGUACCCGUGGCCAAGGCUAGGGGGCUCUUUUUUUCUUCCUCCACUGCCCAGGGAGGCAGUGGUGUGGACAUAAGGCUCAGUACUGGAGCUGAGCCAGGAGACGGGACAAAGGGUUCGGAGGUGCCCUACGUGGGUUUGGACAAGGGCAGCCAAAAACUGAAAGCUGCAGCAGCUAAGGAAGAGAGGAAGCCAAACCAGCAGGCUUUUUCUGGCUCAGGAGGAGACCUCAGCAGGAGCUGAGGGCUGGUGGGGGUGCAAGAGACCCCUUUCCCAGAUACCCCAAUGAGAGAGAGACUUAUCACUAUCGCCUUGAAGACUUCUUCUUAAGUGAUGUGGGAGGGUCCAAGGGGUGUUAGGGAUUGUGUUAGUAUUGUGUAUAUUAUUGCUUUUUAGCUUCUGUAGUAUUUAUCGUGUAUAGUAAUAAAUUGUAUAUAAUCCCCUUCCCCCAUACUGAGUUGUGCCUGUCUGGAAAUUUCUCUUCGGUGUUGAGGUAAAUUGGGGGAGGGGGGCUUGGAAAUUCGAAAAUGGAUUUUUAGAGGGCUCAAACCACGACAGACACCAGGAGAAAAGGCAAGAUCAGCUUGUGCUAUGCACCUCGGAAGUCAGAAGUGGGUACAGAAUUUCAACAUCUGAAAAGUUAUCUCUGAGGCUCCCUGCUGGGCCACUGUCUUUUGACUGACACUGACCAUUCUGUUAACCAGUACCAUGUUAUUAGUACCCCACUACUAUGGUUUUUAGCUUCAAACUUGUUUGGAUCAGCAGGGCACCCAUACUUGGUAGUUCAAGUGCAAUGUAACUUUUUUUUUGAUAUUUUACUC